rfam:Wolinella succinogenes DSM 1740, complete genome
CCCCUAGGACGACCUAGAGGGUGACUUCACCGAUGAUGGGACGACCCAA